GACGAACGCUGGCGGCGUGCCUAAUACAUGCAAGUCGGACGCAGUUGCGAACGGGUGAGUCACGCGUAGGUAACUAGCUAUUAGCGGGGGAUCACUAUUGGAAACGAUAGCUAAUACCGCAUACUAGUAGAUGGACCUGCGUUGUAUUAGCUAGUAGGUAGGGUAAUGGCCUACCUAGGCAACGAUACAUAGCCGACCUUGGAGGGGUGUCGGGCACCAUGGGGCUGAGAAACGGCCCCGACUCCUACGGUGGGCAACAGUAGGGAAUCUUCGGCAAAUGGGGGAACCCUGACCCAGCAACGCCGCGUGAGGGAAGAAGGUUUUCGGGUCGUAAAGCUCUGUUGUGAAGGAAGCGGUACUGAACGAGAAAGGGACGGCUAACUACGUGCCAGCCGCCGCGGUAAUUC
rnacentral:rRNA from 1 species